rnacentral:tRNA from 2 species
GGCCGGUUGGCCCAAUGGUAAGGCGUCUGACUACGAGAUUCCUCUGUGAGGAACAGCUAAUCAGGAGAUUCUGGGUUCGAGCCCCAGGCUGGUCA